rnacentral:rRNA from 1 species
GACAGAGGGGCCGAGCGUUAGGCGGAAUCACUGGGCUUAAAGCGUGUGUAGGCGGACUUCUAAGUACCUUGUGAAAUCCCACGGCUUACCCGUGGAACGGCUGGGUAUACUGGUUGUCUUGAGCCACUUAGGGGCUACCGGAACAAAUGGUGGAGCGGUGAAAUGCGUAGAUAUCAUUUGGAACGCCAAUGGUGAAAACAGGUAGCUGGGAGUGUGCUGACGCUGAGACACGAAAGCCAGGGGAGCGAACGGG